CCUACGGGUGGCAGCAGUGAGGAAUAUUGGUCAAUGGGCGGAAGCCUGAACCAGCCAAGUCGCGUGAGGGAAUAAGGCCCUACGGGUCGUAAACCUCUUUUGUCGGGGAGCAAGGGCCGGGACGCGUCCCGGCCCGGAGAGUACCUGAAGAAAAAGCAUCGGCUAACUCCGUGCCAGCAGCCGCGGGAAUACGGAGGAUGCGAGCGUUAUCCGGAUUUAUUGGGUUUAAAGGGUGCGUAGGCGGAAUAUCAAGUCAGCGGUAAAAAUUCGGGGCUCAACCCCGUCGUGCCGUUGAAACUGAUGUUCUUGAGUGGGCGAGAAGUAGGCGGAAUGCGUGGUGUAGCGGUGAAAUGCAUAGAUAUCACGCAGAACUCCGAUUGCGAAGGCAGCAUACCGGCGCCCUACUGACGCUGAGGCACGAAAGUGCGGGUAUCGAACAGGAUUAGAUACCCUUGUAGUC
rnacentral:rRNA from 1 species